rnacentral:SRP_RNA from 1 species
GCUGGGUGUGGUGGUGCGUGCCUGUAAUCCCAGCUACCUGGGAGGCUGAGGCAGGAGAAUCACUUGAACCCAGGAGUCAGAGGUUGCAGUGAGCUGAGAUCACGCCACUGCACUCCAGCCUGGGUGACAGAGAGAGACUCUGUCUCAA